rnacentral:rRNA from 1 species
UACGUAGGGCGCAAGCGUUGUCCGGAAUUAUUGGGCGUAAAGAGCUCGUAGGCGGCUUGUCACGUCGAUUGUGAAAGCCCGAGGCUUAACCUCGGGUCUGCAGUCGAUACGGGCUAGCUAGAGUACUGGAGAGGGUAGCGGAAUUCAUGGUGUAGCAGUGAAAUGCGUAGAUAUCAUGAGGAACACCAGAGGCGAAGGCGGCAACCUGGACAAGCACUGACACUCAACUGCGAAAGCGUGGGGAGCAAACAGG